AACGAACGCUGGCGGCAGGCUUAACACAUGCAAGUCGAGCGCAUCCUUCGGGGUGAGCGGCGGACGGGUGAGUAACGCGUGGGAACGUGCCCUCUUCUACGGAAUAGCCUCGGGAAACUGAGAGUAAUGCCGUAUACGCCCGCAAGGGGAAAGAUUUAUCGGAGGAGGAUCGGCCCGCGUUGGAUUAGGUAGUUGGUGGGGUAACGGCCUACCAAGCCGACGAUCCAUAGCUGGUUUGAGGGGAUGAUCAGCCACACUGGGACUGAGACACGGCCCAGACUCCUACGGGAGGCAGCAGUGGGGAAUCUUGGACAAUGGGGGCAACCCUGAUCCAGCCAUGCCGCGUGAUCGAUGAAGGCCUUAGGGUUGUAAAGAUCUUUCAGCUGGGAAGAUAAUGACGGUACCAGCAGAAGAAGCCCCGGCUAACUCCGUG
rnacentral:rRNA from 1 species